UACGUAGGGUGCAAGCGUUGUCCGGAAUUAUUGGGCGUAAAGAGCUCGUAGGCGGUUUGUCGCGUCUGCUGUGAAAAUCCAGGGCUUAACCCUGGACCUGCAGUGGGUACGGGCAGACUGGAGGUAUGCAGGGGAGAACGGAAUUCCUGGUGUAGCGGUGAAAUGCGCAGAUAUCAGGAGGAACACCGGUGGCGAAGGCGGUUCUCUGGGCAUGUCCUGACGCUGAGGAGCGAAAGUGUGGGGAGCGAACAGG
rnacentral:rRNA from 1 species